rnacentral:rRNA from 1 species
AACGAACGCUGGCGGCAUGCCUAACACAUGCAAGUCGAACGAGACCUUCGGGUCUAGUGGCGCACGGGUGCGUAACGCGUGGGAACCUGCCCUUAGGUUCGGAAUAACUCCCCGAAAGGGGUGCUAAUACCGGAUAAUGUCUUCGGAUCAAAGAUUUAUCGCCUUUGAUGGGCCCGCGUUGGAUUAGCUAGUUGGUAGGGUAAAAGCCUACCAAGGCGACGAUCCAUAGCUGGUCUGAGAGGAUGAUCAGCCACACUGGGACUGAGACACGGCCCAGACUCCUACGGGAGGCAGCAGUGGGGAAUAUUGGACAAUGGGCGAAAGCCUGAUCCAGCAAUGCCGCGUGAGUGAUGAAGGCCUUAGGGUUGUAAAGCUCUUUUACCCGGGAUGAUAAUGACAGUACCGGGAGAAUAAGCUCCGGCUAACUCCGUG